GACGAACGCUGGCGGCGUGCCUAACACAUGCAAGUCGAGCGAUGAAGUUUCCUUCGGGAAAUGGAUUAGCGGCGGACGGGUGAGUAACACGUGGGUAACCUGCCUCAUAGAGGGGAAUAGCCUCCCGAAAGGGAGAUUAAUACCGCAUAAUAUUACAGUUUCGCAUGAAACAGUAAUUAAAGGAGUAAUCCGCUAUGAGAUGGACCCGCGGCGCAUUAGCUAGUUGGUGAGGUAACGGCUCACCAAGGCGACGAUGCGUAGCCGACCUGAGAGGGUGAUCGGCCACAUUGGGACUGAGACACGGCCCAGACUCCUACGGGAGGCAGCAGUGGGGAAUAUUGCACAAUGGGGGAAACCCUGAUGCAGCAACGCCGCGUGAGUGAUGACGGUCUUCGGAUUGUAAAGCUCUGUCUUUGGGGACGAUAAUGACGGUACCCAAGGAGGAAGCCACGGCUAACUACGUGCCAGCCGCCGCCGUAAAAC
rnacentral:rRNA from 1 species